ACUCCUCACCAAGAACUCCUGAACUUGAGAGUGGACGACUUCAAAGCUAGCUCUCACAGACUCACCUGGAAAAGAGUUCAGCUGCGCGUUCAUUGAACCGAGAGGCCAGAUCACCUAUGUGAGGCGGUGGGAACCAUAUGGAGAUUUAUAUUAGAACUUCAGCAAAGUGCACAGCUGCAGCCGGCAGAAGCCAGCUCUCGGGCUGACAGGCAAAUGAACCAGAUCGUGGACGGGGCCUCUGGGUGGCAGCUCCGGCCUUUUGGUUGUUGGACAACUAUAGUCAGAACUGAAAUGGAACAGGGGCAGGAGAAAUAACACACUUUUACUCCACGCAACUGUUGCUUUCACAUGAUCUUCAGGAAUGUAACUGGGAUAAUUGUCCAAAUUGAAUCCCAUACCCUGUCAUGGUACUGAUUAUUAAGGUGACUAUAUGAAAGGAUCACUCCAAAAUAACACAUACCAGAAUAGGAGUCCUGUCUUAACUGAGCAAUAUACACUAUGGAGAGAUCCUUCAAAACCCGUCGGGACGAAUAACAGAUGAAUUCAUAAAACUGUUCAUCUCUGUUAUCCUGAAUGGUCACUCAGACAACAUUUUACUCAACUAUAAAGGCAUUUGAACUGGUCGGACAGGACGACAGAGCAGUGAGCAUGAGAUCAUUGCAGCCGAGUAGCAAACUGGCACCCAGCCUUUUCACCCCUUCGGUUCGGGAGACGAACGUGUGCAGUCCUCGUUUCUCAAGUCAGCCUGGAAGGAUUCCGGGACUCUCCCACCUUCUACCAUUCUGCUGCCAGUCGGUGGCAACGAUUGGUGCAGAUUCUGCGCAGUGCUUUGUGCCUGGAAUAUGGAGAAGGAAGAGAAUGAAGACAAGCCCUCUGGACCUCCUUCUCUGAGAAAUACCGGGAGCCCAGAAGAAACAGAAAAAAAAAAAAUCCAAAACAAAAACAAAAAACCAAACCAAACAAAAACCCUGAGCUUCUCAGUAUUCGCCAGAGUGCUGAAAAAUACUGAUAAUGAUGCGGAAUGCCUGCGUGAAAACAAAAACAAACCAAAAAUGCAAACCGAGACAAACCCAAAAAAGCAAACUUUGGUUUGUCUAACUCCUGAGACAUCGGGCUUCGUUAAGCAGCUUGGAAGGCAACACAAAUCUAUGACCCUUCUUUCUUUUAUUUAUUUAUUUUUGUUAUUAUUUCAAAAAACAAUGGCCUAAGAGCAGUACAUUGCACUUGGUGAACCCGCACUUUCAUACCAG
rnacentral:lncRNA from 1 species